GCCGCGUCCACGCUCCAGCGGGAAGUUGCACAGGUUUAAAGCCUGUAGGCACCACCGCCGGCUCCUGCCGCCGCGUAGGUUGCGGUCGGCUGCGGCGCGCUUUCUGAAGUGGCCGAGCUCCUAGACAGGAGCAAAGAAGCCAGCGGCUCGGCCAUUUAGCUCCCGACGCGGCGAUGAGGACGGCGCCGAGGGCCUGGGGCUAGGGACAACGUCUUGCUAUGUUGCCUGGACUGAACUCGAACUACCCAGCUCAAGCAAUCCUCCCAAGUAGCUGGAACUACAGGGUCGCACUGUGUUUUAUCUAAGUUUUAAGAAUAUAUAUUUCACCCCACACCCUCUUGCCAUGAGACUCAAUAAAAAUAUAUAUACAGGCAGUGGGGGUAUGAAAAGGCUGCUCAUUAAUCCUAACUCUAACAUUCUGUUCUCUGGUUCUAAGUGUCUGUACCAAGAGAAAUUAACAAGAAUUGGCAAAUACUAGAUUGAAUCGACUCUCUUUUUAAAUGUCAUUUACCCUUUUUGGUAUAAAUGCAUGGCUCUGCAGUUAAGAAUACAAUUAAACUCUCUCUCCUCAGAUAGGCAGCCCAGUAGCCCAAAGAAAUCGAACUGCCAGCUUUUCAGUCAGAUAGAGCCUAUAAUUCAAUUAACAAUGCAGACAGUAUCAAGGCUAAUCAAUGCUACACUCUGAAAAGAGAGGGAUUUGUGGAUUGAGUUUAUCUUUAUAAUGAUUAUUAACAAUUUAUCAAAACAUAUAGAAUUAGAUAAAUUAUUAAUGAAGCAUGCAAAGUUAAAAAAAAAGAGUGGGUACAUUGAGUGGAUCAGUGCUACAAGAUUUGAGAGGAAAGAGCAUGCUUCUGCCCUAGAGGCAACAGAGGCUUCGCUGAGUGGGAGGGAUGUAACCCCAGAGCUGGGCCUCCAAGGGUGGACUGGAAACUUACAUGGCCAUCAAUCAUCUCCUAGGGCAGUAAGCGUGUGAGCCAAAGACGGCUCAGGGUCCUAAAAUAAAUUCCUUUCAGUCCAGUCUCAAUGCUUC
rnacentral:lncRNA from 10 species